rnacentral:rRNA from 1 species
GAUGAACGCUGGCGGCGUGCCUAAUACAUGCAAGUCGAGCGAACGGAUAAGGAGCUUGCUCCUUUGACGUUAGCGGCGGACGGGUGAGUAACACGUGGUAACCUACCUAUAAGACUGGGAUAACUUCGGGAAACCGGAGCCAAUACCGGAUAAUAUUUCGAACCGCAUGGUUCGAUAGUGGAAGAUGGUUUUGCUAUCACUUAUAGAUGGACCCGCGCCGUAUUAGCUAGUUGGUAAGGUAACGGCUUACCAAGGCGACGAUACGUAGCCGACCUGAGAGGGGGAUCGGACACACUGGAACUGAGACACGGUCAAGACUACUACGGGAGGCAGCAGUAGGGAAUCUGCCGCAAUGGGCGAAAGCCUGACGGAGCAACGCCGCGUGAGUGAUGAAGGUCUUCGGAUCGUAAAACUCUGUUAUUAGGGAAGAACAUACGUGUAAGUAACUGUGCACGUCUUGACGGUAACUAAUCAGAAAGCCACGGCUAACUACGUG